CAGUCGCCGCGGGAAUACAGAGGGUGCGAGCGUUAAUCGGAUUUACUGGGCGUAAAGCGUGCGUAGGCGGCUAAUUGAGUCGGAUGUGAAAUCCCCGAGCUUAACUUGGGAAUUGCAUUCGAUACUGGUUAGCUAGAGUGUGGGAGAGGAUGGUAGAAUUCCAGGUGUAGCGGUGAAAUGCGUAGAGAUCUGGAGGAAUACCGAUGGCGAAGGCAGCCAUCUGGCCUAACACUGACGCUGAGGUACGAAAGCAUGGGGAGCAAACAGGAUUAGAGACCCCAGUAGUCCCUGUCUCUUAUAC
rnacentral:rRNA from 1 species